rnacentral:lncRNA from 1 species
CACUCGCACUCCCACACACACUCGCUCCACACUCGCACUCCCUCUCUUACACACACACACACACACACUCCCUCACUCUCUCACCCACACACUCUCUCUCACACACACACUCCCUCUCACUCUUUCACCCACACUCUCUCUCACACACACACUCUCUCUCUCUCUCUCACACACACACUCUCUCUCUCUCUCUCACACACACACUCUCUCUCUCUCUCUCACACACACACUCUCUCUCUCUCUCUCACACACACACUCUCUCUCUCUCUCUCACACACACACUCUCUCUCUCUCUCUCACACACACACUCUCUCUCUCUCUCUCACACACACACUCUCUCUCUCUCUCUCACACACACACUCUCUCUCUCUCUCUCACACACACACUCUCUCUCUCUCUCUCACACACACACUCUCUCUCUCUCUCUCACACACACACUCUCUCUCUCUCUCUCACACACACACUCUCUCUCUCUCUCUCACACACACACUCUCUCUCUCUCUCUCACACACACACUCUCUCUCUCUCUCUCACACACACACUCUCUCUCUCUCUCUCACACACACACUCUCUCUCUCUCUCUCACACACACACUCUCUCUCUCUCUCUCACACACACACUCUCUCUCUCUCUCUCACACACACACUCUCUCUCUCUCUCUCACACACACACUCUCUCUCUCUCUCUCACACACACACUCUCUCUCUCUCUCUCACACACACACUCUCUCUCUCUCUCUCACACACACACUCUCUCUCUCUCACACACACACACACUCACUCUCUCGCACUCACACACACACACUCGCACUCCCACACACACUCGCACUCCCUCUCACACACACACACACUCCCUCUCACUCUUUCACCCACACUCUCUCUCACACACACACUCCCUCUCACUCUCACACACUCCCUCUCAGUCUCACACACUCCCUCACUCACUCUCACACACUCCCUCUCACACACACUCCCACUCGCACACACACACUCCCACAUGUUCAAUAAAUGAACAUUUAUUAAUAAGAUGUUGUUGUUUAUUAAUGUUCACCUUUUGAUUACUGCUGAUGGCUCUAGUAAUUUUUUGUCCGAUUUUUAAUUUACAACCUAUUUUGGGUUCAUUUUAAGCCAGCCAUAUAGAAUUUUAAUCAAUAGUGGAGUUAAAAAAAGACCACCCAAGAUUGGGUUAGACAUUUAACCCAAUCACUGAGUUUGUCCAGAUUUCACACAGCGCUGGGUUGAAUUUAACUCUGCAUUUUAUUUUUUUUGAGUGUGAAAAAGCAGUUUAAC